rnacentral:tRNA from 1 species
GCCCGGGUGGCGGAAUGGCAGACGCAGGGGACUUAAAAUCCCCUGGCCUUUGGCCGUGUGGGUUCGAAUCCCAUCCCGGGCA